UUAAUAAAUGAUGUGGGGAAUGUUGGACAGAUAUGUGCCAAAAAAGUAAAACUACAUCACCUUCUUAUACCAUACAUAAGAAUAAACUCAAAAUGGAUUAAAGACUUAAAAUUUUA